GAUGAACGCUGGCGGCGUGCCUAAUACAUGCAAGUCGAGCGAACAGACGAGGAGCUUGCUCCUCUGACGUUAGCGGCGGACGGGUGAGUAACACGUGGAUAACCUACCUAUAAGACUGGGAUAACUUCGGGAAACCGGAGCUAAUACCGGAUAAUAUAUUGAACCGCAUGGUUCAAUAGUUAAAGACGGUUUUGCUGUCACUUAUAGAUGGAUCCGCGCCGCAUUAGCUAGUUGGUAAGGUAACGGCUUACCAAGGCGACGAUGCGUAGCCGACCUGAGAGGGUGAUCGGCCAUACUGGAACUGAGACACGGUCCAGACUCCUACGGGAGGCAGCAGUAGGGAAUAUUCCGCAAUGGGCGAAAGCCUGACGGAGCAACGCCGCGUGAGUGAUGAAGGUCUUCGGAUCGUAAAACUCUGUUAUUAGGGAAGAACAAAUGUGUAAGUAACUAUGCACGUCUUGACAGUACCUAAUCAGAAAGCCACGGCUAGCUACGUG
rnacentral:rRNA from 1 species